rnacentral:rRNA from 1 species
UAGUUUGAUCAUCGGCUACGAGAACGAACGCUGGCGGCAGGCUUAACACAUGCAAGUCGAACGAAGCCUUCGGGCUUAGUGGCGACGGGUGAGUAACGCGUGGGAACGUGCCCUUCUCUACGGAAUAGUCUCGGGAAACUGGGGGUAAUACCGUAUACGCCCUUCGGGGGAAAGAAUUUCGGAGAGGGAUCGGCCCGCGUUGGAUUAGGUAGUUGGUGGGGUAAUGGCCUACCAAGCCGACGAUCCAUAGCUGGUUUGAGAGGAUGACCAGCCACACUGGGACUGAGACACGGCCCAGACUCCUACGGGAGGCAGCAGUGGGGAAUCUUAGACAAUGGGCGCAAGCCUGAUCUAGCCAUGCCGCGUGGACGAUGAAGGCCUUAGGGUUGUAAAGUCCUUUCGCUGGGGAAGAUAAUGACUGUACCCAGUAAAGAAGCCCCGGCUAACUCCGUG